rnacentral:rRNA from 1 species
UAGAAGGCAGCAGUGGGGAAUAUUGCACAAUGGGCGAAAGCCUGAUGCAGCUAUGCCGCGUGUAUGAAGAAGGCCUUAGGGUUGUAAAGUACUUUCAUCGGGGAGGAAAAAACAAAACUAAUAAUUUUAUUUCUUGACGUUACCCGAAAAAGAAGCACCGGCUAACUCCGUGCCAGCAGCCGCGGUAAUACGGAGGGUGCUAGCGUUAAUCAGAAUUACUGGGCGUAAAGAGCACGUAGGUGGUUUUUUUAAGUUCAGAUGUGAAAUCCCUGGGCUUAACCUAGGAACUGCAUUUUGAAACUGAAAUACUAGAGUAUCGUAGAGGGAGGUAGAAUUCUAGGUGUAGCGGUGAAAUGCGUAGAUAUCUGGAGGAAUACCUGUGGCGAAAGCGGCCUCCUAAACGAAUACUGACACUGAGGUGCGAAAGCGUGGGGAGCAAACAGGGAUUAGAUACC